AACGUAGGAGGCGAGCGUUAUCCGGAUUUACUGGGCGUAAAGCGCGUGCAGGCGGCGGAGAAAGUUGGAUGUGAAAGCUCCUGGCUCAACUAGGAGAGGUCGUUCAAAACUUCUCAGCUAGAGGAUGGUAGAGGGAGGUGGAAUUCCGGGUGUAGUGGUGAAAUGCGUAGAUAUCCGGAGGAACACCAGUGGCGAAAGCGGCCUCCUGGACCAUUUCUGACGCUCAGACGCGAAAGCUAGGGUAGCAAACGGG
rnacentral:rRNA from 1 species